GAUGAACGCUAGCGGCAGGCUUAAUACAUGCAAGUCGAGGGACAGCACAGGUAGCAAUACUGGGUGGUAACCGGCAAACGGGUGCGGAACACGUACACAACCUUCCUUUAAGUGGGGGAUAGCCCAGAGAAAUUUGGAUUAAUACACCGUAAUAUAGUUGAAUGGCAUCAUUUGAUUAUUAUAGCUACGGCGCUUAAUGAUGGGUGUGCGGCUGAUUAGAUAGUUGGCGGGGUAACGGCCCACCAAGUCUACGAACAGUAGCUGUUGUGAGAGCAUGAUCAGCCACACGGGCACUGAGACACGGGCCCGACUCCUACGGGAGGCAGCAGUAAGGAAUAUUGGUCAAUGGACGCAAGUCUGAACCAGCCAUGCCGCGUGAAGGAUUAAGGUCCUCUGGAUUGUAAACUUCUUUUAUUUGGGACGAAAAGGGGCCUUUCUAGGUCAACUGACGGUACCAGAUGAAUAAGCACCGGCUAACUCCGUGCCAGCCGCCGCAGUAACAC
rnacentral:rRNA from 1 species